AGUGAACGCUGGCGGUAGGCCUAACACAUGCAAGUCGAACGGCAGCACAGUAAGAGCUUGCUCUUACGGGUGGCGAGUGGCGGACGGGUGAGGAAUACAUCGGAAUCUACUUUUUCGUGGGGGAUAACGUAGGGAAACUUACGCUAAUACCGCAUCCGACCUACGGGUGAAAGCAGGGGAUCUUCUGACCUUGCGCGAUUGAAUGAGCCGAUGUCGGAUUAGCUAGUUGGCGGGGUAAAGGCCCACCAAGGCGACGAUCCGUAGCUGGUCUGAGAGGAUGAUCAGCCACACUGGAACUGAGACACGGUCCAGACUACUACGGGAGGCAGCAGUGGGGAAUAUUGGACAAUGGGCGCAAGCCUGAUCCAGCCAGACCGCGUGGGUGAAGAAGGCCUUCGGGUUGUAAAGCCCUUUUGUUGGGAAAGAAAAGCAGCAGGUUAAUACCCCGCUGUUCUGACGGUACCCAAAGAAUAAGCACCGGCUAACUUCGUG
rnacentral:rRNA from 1 species